CCUACGGGAGGCAGCAGUGGGGAAUAUUGGACAAUGGGGGGAACCCUGAUCCAGCGACGCCGCGUGAGUGAAGAAGUAUUUCGGUAUGUAAAGCUCUAUCAGCAGGGAAGAAAGAAAUGACGGUACCUGACUAAGAAGCCCCGGCUAACUACGUGCCAGCAGCCGCGGUAAUACGUAGGGGGCAAGCGUUAUCCGGAUUUACUGGGUGUAAAGGGAGCGUAGACGGCGAUGUAAGUCUGAAGUGAAAGGCGGGGGCCCAACCCCCGGACUGCUUUGGAAACUGUAUGGCUGGAGUGCAGGAGAGGUAAGGGGAAGUGCUAGUGUAGCGGUGAAAUGCGGAGAUAUUAGGAGGAACACCAGUGGCGAAGGCGGCUUACUGGACCGUAACUGACGUUGAGGCUCGAAAGCGUGGGGAGCAAACAGGAUUAGAUACCCCGGUAGUC
rnacentral:rRNA from 1 species